CCUUGUACACACCGCCCGUCACACCAUGGGAGUUGGCUGCACCAGAAGCCGGUAGUCUAACCGCAAGGGGGACGCUUACCACGGUAGGUUUCAUGACUGGGGUG
rnacentral:rRNA from 1 species